rnacentral:rRNA from 1 species
GACGAACGCUGGCGGCGUGCUUAACACAUGCAAGUCGAACGAUGAACCCGGAGCUUGCUCCGGUGGAUUAGUGGCGAACGGGUGAGUAACACGUGAGUAACCUGCCCUUGACUCUGGGAUAACUGCGGGAAACUGUAGCUAAUACCGGAUACGACCCUCGGCGGCAUCGCCAGGGGGUGGAAAGAAUUUCGGUCAAGGAUGGACUCGCGGCCUAUCAGCUAGUUGGUGAGGUAGUGGCUCACCAAGGCGACGACGGGUAGCCGGCCUGAGAGGGCGACCGGCCACACUAGGACUGAGACACGGCCCAGACUCCUACGGGAGGCAGCAGUGGGGAAUAUUGCGCAAUGGGCGAAAGCCUGACGCAGCAACGCCGCGUGCGGGAUGACGGCCUUCGGGUUGUAAACCGCUUUCAGCAGGGAAGAAGCCGCAAGGUGACGGUACCUGCAGAAGAAGCACCGGCUAACUACGUGCCAGCCGCCGCGGUAA